GAGGCUGGGGUUGGGGAGAGUUGUACGAACCAGUGCCUGGUGGAGCCAGGUCAGAAGUUCCUGGGGGCCAGAGCAUCCCCUGUUCUCAGCUAAGAGUGGUGUCUCACCAAUUUACCUGGGGACAGAGGACAUGUGUUUAAGUCUCAGGACUGCCACACAGUAAAACCAGAAAACUGGGGAGCCGGCAAGAUAGCAUAUUUCUUUCUGUUUCGAGAAAAUAAAAUUUAGAUUAUUUACAAAAGGUGCCUGGUAGGAGAGCUAUACAUGGCAACCAUUUGUGUGUGAAGGAAGGUGGGUCCGUAAUAAGAGGUUAGAAAGAGUCUACCAGGUGUUCACACUUGAAAGAGACGAGCUUAAAGAGCUAGGAGAGAAUGAGUAAUUAUGAUAAAAAUAGCUACAACAGUUUGCCCUUCUUGAAGAGUGGGGAAACAGCAGUCAUUUAAACCAGAUUGGCAGACGCUGGCUUUCCCUCUUUAUUUGGUACUAACAAAUGUCUCAGGAAAAACCAAACAAGGCCCAAAGCAGACACUUCGAAAGGCAAACCAGGUAGGAGAGGGGGCACAGUUAUAAUGGGGCAGGACAUCAUCCAGAUGUGGUUACCAGGGGCUGGCUCACAACGGAAAGCACAGGUGGGCUGGGAUGGGUGUAGGGGCUGCCCGGGAAGAAGAAAGUUCUGGAAGUCCUCGCCUUCUUGCAAACCCGUCAACAGAUCUCUAGAGCUGGCCCGAACCUGGACCCUAAACAAAAUGGGAGAAUAACAGUCCCAGGACUAGGAAAGGAGGCAGGAAAAGUCAGCAAAGGAAACGGCAUAUCCUGUGGAACAAAGCCGGAGGGACCUGCCAAGUCCUUAAGGAACCAGCACGGUCUAUGCUUCCAUGUGUAUCUGAGAGAAUGCCUCCAACGACACUGGGUCGAAACUGAAUCACUGAGGAUGGAAGUCUUAUACCGUGUUCCGGAGACUUUGACCAGGGAGCAAGGAAAGAGCCAGAGAAGGCUUCUUCCACCGCCAGUCAGUCUUCAGAGAAAAGAAUGACAGGGCCACUUGCAGCCACUCUGCUCUUCUGGAAUAUUUAUAGCUUCCAGCGAGCCUUCGCCUUCUUCAUCCUCCAAGAAUGAUCAUCAGUUUCUCUGAAAUGAGCCUCAAUGACUGUCAGCAUGGAAUUGUUUUUCAAAGCCCUUGGGAAGUUUCUCUUCCACUUCUUUGUUGGAAAUUAGAGUCACUGGGAGAGCCACCUUCUAGACAAUGAAGACCUGAAGGCUGGACAUCUAGGAGAAACACAGACAGUGCAUGGAAAACAUGAUGUCCCAAAACCACAGGUCAAAUUUUCCAGGGAGGUGUGCUCAGAAAUGUGGGCAACAUAAAGGCUCUUUGUGAUUACUAAGUGUCUGGAUACAACAUCGCUAAGGCUGGAGCGGUGAGAUAUCACCACGAGUCCAUCGCCCCUAUGCUCUCAUAUGCCAGAGCUCCGGAGUGAAAAACCAGAUCCCAGGACCAGCAUAAUGGUGCAGAUGCCCUGGAUCCUGUGAAGAACAAGGUGGUGAGUGCUACAGCCCAGGGACUCUGGUCCCCAGGGCAGAAUAAAAAUCCUUCAUAAAAUAGCCUGGAAACACUGAAAGUGAAUGAUAGCAGGAAAUGUGAAGACAACAACAAAAGCGAAAGCAAAACACAGCACUAGAAAAAACAUGUCAAAGUCCACCGACUUUCUCCUGUGGAGAAGCCAGGAGGUAUAUGUUUGGGGGAGGCACAGUCAAGAUCACCAGCAGCAAAAGGUGGACAAAUAGGUCCAAAUGCUAUGGGUUCUGAGUAUCUAGAGAGGAGACUCUUGACGCAAGCAUGGUCAGAAUGUGUGUAUGACCCACGGGAUAGGCAGGUGGUCGUGAUAUUCAGUUAUAGGGCAGUGCACCAGUGAGAAUGACAGUGACCUUCCAGCCUAUUCCCUAACUUGGCUGUCUUCUCCACCCAUGGUAUGGUAGAGGUCUAGAGAAAUCAUCAGCCUCUCCACCUUUAUCUCUCUUCCUGGAGGCACCAAAGGGGUUUAUCUUCUUUGGUUAGAUUGGUAAUUACAUGUGUGCCUCUGGCAAAGGUCCUAGCUCGGCCACAGCUGCAUCCUGGUUGCUAACACAAGUCCUGUGGGG